rnacentral:lncRNA from 1 species
AUUAAGUGCAGCGUAGCGGGCGCUAACCGACGUGCACAGGCAGCGGGCUGGGGCAGGGCCAGGGAGCCAGGAACAGGGCAGGAGAGCUGAGCUCUGCCCGCAGCCGCCCAAGAGGAGCUCUGCAGCCUGGGGAGAUCAGCUGCCUGCCUCUCUGAGACCACUGUAAACUGCAAGUUCCAAGAGGGCAAGGAUGCCUUGUUUAUGCCCAGAAUCUACCACAUACAUAUACUCCAUAACUAUUUGUGGAAAGAGUGAAUGAAGUUAUCCAUCAAGUUGAGACUGGGUGAUUUAAAAACAGCCAGCAGGGGGUACAGCUGCCAAUAGCCCAAGAUCAUCCAAACGAAAGAGAGAACCUCUGUCUAUCUUACAUUUGGAGAAAUCUGGGAAAGGAUUCAAACUGGUCAGGGAAGCAACACGUGGAAGGAGCAGAAAAUCGUGGUCAGAUGAACAGUGCCCAGGACUGGCCGGGCCCCAGGACAGGUGCUGCAUGGGAUGUAGGAUGAGUCAGCCCUUUCGUCCAGGCAGUGUGGGAACAGGCCAGUGUGGCCUGGGGCCAUAUUGACGUCGGAGGGUCAGGAAAAAUCAGUCAUACGGAUCUCGUCUUUAUUUAAAAGUUUGAUAUCAUUUCUAUAUUUUGCAUUCAUUUUUAUUUAAAAAAUGUUUAUGUAAAAUAUUAUAUACUAUAAAUAUAAUAAAAUGGAG